UGGCACCCAACGUAGAGCUCCUGGCAUGGAGGAUUCAAUGGGGGACCCAUUUGGAGAUGCCAGCCGAAAGUGAAACUAAAGAUCUGAGGCCUACGCUAUGCAGGAGCAUGCUGUGCCGCUCAAGCUUUGGUAAGUGAACAGUGAUCCCUUCCCCCUUUCCCAGCAUGGGUCAAGCAUUGAGUGACCACGAACUUUUUGUGGGAGGCCUAAGUAAGGCAUUAAAGACAAGAGGGAUUAAGGCUAAAGAAAAAGAUUUAUUACAAUAUUUUCAAUUUAUUCAUACGGUUUG
rfam:Cavia porcellus supercont2_111 genomic scaffold, whole genome shotgun sequence.